AGGACGAACGCUGGCGGCGUGCUUAACACAUGCAAGUCGAGCGGAAAGGCCCUUCGGGGUACUCGAGCGGCGAACGGGUGAGUAACACGUGAGCAACCUGCCCCUAGCUCUGGGAUAGCUCCGGGAAACCGGGAUUAAUACCGGAUAUGACCACUUUAGACAUCUGCUGUGGUGGAAAGAAUUUCGGCUAGGGAUGGACUCGCGGCCUAUCAGCUAGUUGGUGGGGUAAAGGCCUACCGAAGGCGACGACGGGUA
rnacentral:rRNA from 1 species